ACUGUCUUUGUCUGCACCUUUUUGUUUCAUUUAAAUGAAAAAAGGUCUGCACCUUUUUGUUUCAUUUAAAUGAAACAAAAAAGUGCAGACAAAGAAAGUC
rnacentral:miRNA from 1 species